rnacentral:rRNA from 1 species
ACGCUAGCUACAGGCUUAACACAUGCAAGUCGAGGGGAAACGACAUUGAAGCUUGCUUCGAUGGGCGUCGACCGGCGCACGGGUGAGUAACGCGUAUCCAACCUGCCUCUGACUAAGGGAUAACCCGGCGAAAGUCGGACUAAUACCUUAUGAGGUUUUCUGCAGACAUCUAACGAAAACGAAAGAUUUGUCGGUCAGAGAUGGGGAUGCGUCUGAUUAGCUUGUUGGCGGGGUAACGGCCCACCAAGGCAACGAUCAGUAGGGGUUCUGAGAGGAAGGUCCCCCACAUUGGAACUGAGACACGGUCCAAACUCCUACGGGAGGCAGCAGUGAGGAAUAUUGGUCAAUGGGCGAGAGCCUGAACCAGCCAAGUAGCGUGCAGGAUGACGGCCCUAUGGGUUGUAAACUGCUCUUAUGGGGGGAUAAAGUGAGCUACGUGUAGUUUAUUGCAGGUACCACAUGAAUAAGGACCGGCUAAUUCCGUGCCAGCAGCCGCGGUAAUACGGAAGGUCCAGGCGUUAUCCGGAUUUAUUGGGUUUAAAGGGAGCGUAGGCCGUGGAUUAAGCGUGUUGUGAAAUGUAGACGCUCAACGUCUGAAUUGCAGCGCGAACUGGUUCACUUGAGUAUGCACAACGUAGGCGGAAUUCGUCGUGUAGCGGUGAAAUGCUUAGAUAUGACGAAGAACUCCGAUUGCGAAGGCAGCUUACGGGAGCACAACUGACGCUGAAGCUCGAAGGUGCGGGUAUCAAACAGGAUUAGAUACCCUGGUAGUCCGCACAGUAAACGAUGGAUGCCCGUUGUUGUUCACUUAAGAAUUAGCGACCAAGCGAAAGCAUUAAGCAUCCCACCUGGGGAGUACGCCGGCAACGGUGAAACUCAAAGGAAUUGACGGGGGCCCGCACAAGCGG